AGUGAACGCUGGCGGUAGGCCUAACACAUGCAAGUCGAACGGCAGCACAGUAAGAGCUUGCUCUUACGGGUGGCGAGUGGCGGAUGGGUGAGGAAUACAUCGGAAUCUACUUUUUCGUGGGGGAUAACGUAGGGAAACUUACGCUAAUACCGCAUACGACCUAAGGGUGAAAGCAGGGGAUCUUCGGACCUUGCGCGAUCGAAUGAGCCGAUGUCGGAUUAGCUAGUUGGCGGGGUAAAGGCCCACCAAGGCGACGAUCCGUAGCUGGUCUGAGAGGAUGAUCAGCCACACUGGAACUGAGACACGGUCCAGACUCCUACGGGAGGCAGCAGUGGGGAAUAUUGGACAAUGGGCGCAAGCCUGAUCCAGCCAUACCGCGUGGGUGAAGAAGGCCUUCGGGUUGUAAAGCCCUUUUGUUGGGAAAGAAAAGCAGCAGGUUAAUACCCCGCUGUUCUGACGGUACCCAAAGAAUAAGCACCGGCUAACUUCGUG
rnacentral:rRNA from 1 species